rnacentral:lncRNA from 1 species
AUUCAUAUCCAAAUCUUCUUUAGUGGAAACAAAUGAGAUAUUAUUAACAUUUCAAUGAAUCAUUCAAUUAAGCGCAUAAUGAACUUUUAGCAAAUGCCAUAAUACAUAGUCAGCCACUUCUAAUCUUUUUCCCAGAAACCCAUAAAAAUCUUUUUUAUCGUUAAAAUUAGUUGCUAAAAGUAUAAAACAAAGUUAAUUAUAUUUAAAUAGCAUAGUUAUUAAACAUGGAAACCCACCAAGCUUCAUCCAAAUUGCCACGUCAUCUCGCCGGAAAAUUAGCCGGAGUCAGAUCAAUCUCAAUCAAAUUCUCUUCUUCAACUUCACUAUUCCUCUUCCCAUCCAAUUCAAUCUCUAUUAAUCCUUCUGUAUCUUCUUCCUCCCACUCGAAACACAAAUUCUCCAAUAAAUCCCCACCCGAACUAUCGGUAUCCAUACAUGUAUUCAUAUCCGUAUCCAUAUCCUGGUAAUACAACGAUACUGAUCCAUAUUUCUCAACAACCAUUAUCUCCCCCUCAUCUUCAUACUCCUCCUGAAUCACCUCCAAUGGAACUCCCACAUUCCAUUGGAAUUAAAAUGUGUCGGGGUUCGGGGUGGUGGGCCCCACAUCAUUAAAAAUAUCACGUGGAGUUUGUGAUGGUGGUGAUAUUUGGGUGGAAAUGCAGUUCUUCCAAUCGGAAUCUCUUUUAAGUUUGUCGGUUUUCUGAGUUGCGCCGAGUCUUAGAAGAGAAAGUACGAGAAUUGAGGUGGAGAGGAAAACUGGAGAGAAAAGGAUUGAGCGGAAAAUAGUUGCGGGGAAGUAGAGGAGAAUGACAGUGUAAAGAGUGAUAAUGGUGGAGAAUAACGGAUUUGAAGAGGGAGAGUCCAAUGAUUUUUCAUGUAUCGCCAUAGCGUUAGGGGUGGGCGAUUUGAUUCGGAAAGGAAAGAAUUUUAUUAUGGUUGAGUGUUUAGAGAGAGGGAAGAAUAAAUUCGAUAUGUUGGAUUAAGUUGAAGAAUGGAUGAACAGACAAGAAAUGAUGGAAUUUCCAGUUGAGUGGGUUGAAUGAGCAUAUGUAUACCAUGCACUAUAUUCAUUUUUCGAUUCUUUACGGGGAGAGAGUGAAAAGAAAAUGGUUUUGUGGGGUGUUG